GACAGAGGGUGCAAACGUUGCUCGGAAUUACUGGGCGUAAAGGGCGCGUAGGCGGUGCGGUAAGUCUGCGGUGAAAUCUCCCGGCUCAACUGGGAGUCUGCCGUGGAAACUGCCGUGCUUGAGUGUGGGAGAGGUGAGUGGAAUUCCCGGUGUAGCGGUGAAAUGCGUAGAUAUCGGGGAGGAACACCUGUGGCGAAAGCGGCGCACUGGACCACAUCUGACGCUGGAGGCGCGAAAGCUAGGGGAGCAAACAGG
rnacentral:rRNA from 1 species